GUGGGGAAUAUUGCGCAAUGGACGAAAGUCUGACGCAGCGACGCCGCGUGAGUGAUGAAGGCCUUAGGGUCGUAAAGCUCUGUUGAAUGGGAAGAAAAAAAUGACGGUACCAUUCGAGGAAGGACCGGCUAACUUCGUGCCAGCAGCCGCGGUAAUACGAGGGGUCCUAGCGUUGUUCGGAAUCAUUGGGCGUAAAGGGUGUGUAGGUGGCCAUGUAAGUCAGGUGUGAAAGCCCCGGGCUCAACCCGGGAAGUGCACUUGAUACUGCGUGGCUUGAGUACCGAAGAGGGUAGUGGAAUUCCAGGUGUAGUGGUGAAAUACGUAGAUAUCUGGAGGAACACCGGUGGCGAAGGCGGCUACCUGGUCGAGUACUGACACUGAGACACGAAAGCAUGGGGAUCAAACAGGAUUAGAUACCCUAGUAGUCC
rnacentral:rRNA from 1 species